AGAGUUUGAUCAUGGCUCAGAUUGAACGCUGGCGGCAGGCCUAACACAUGCAAGUCGAGCGGAUGAAGGGAGCUUGCUCCUGGAUUCAGCGGCGGACGAGUGAGUAAUGCCUAGGAAUCUGCCUGGUAGUGGGGGAUAACGUCCGGAAACGGGCGCUAAUACCGCAUACGUCCUGAGGGAGAAAGUGGGGGAUCUUCGGACCUCACGCUAUCAGAUGAGCCUAGGUCGGAUUAGCUAGUUGGUGGGGUAAAGGCCUACCAAGGCGACGAUCCGUAACUGGUCUGAGAGGAUGAUCAGUCACACUGGAACUGAGACACGGUCCAGACUCCUACGGGAGGCAGCAGUGGGGAAUAUUGGACAAUGGGCGAAAGCCUGAUCCAGCCAUGCCGCGUGUGUGAAGAAGGUCUUCGGAUUGUAAAGCACUUUAAGUUGGGAGGAAGGGCAGUAAGUUAAUACCUUGCUGUUUUGACGUUACCAACAGAAUAAGUACCGGCUAACUUCGUGCCAGCAGCCGCGGUAAUACGAAGGGUGCAAGCGUUAAUCGGAAUUACUGGGCGUAAAGCGCGCGUAGGUGGUUCAGCAAGUUGGAUGUGAAAUCCCCGGGCUCAACCUGGGAACUGCAUCCAAAACUACUGAGCUAGAGUACGGUAGAGGGUGGUGGAAUUUCCUGUGUAGCGGUGAAAUGCGUAGAUAUAGGAAGGAACACCAGUGGCGAAGGCGACCACCUGGACUGAUACUGACACUGAGGUGCGAAAGCGUGGGGAGCAAACAGGAUUAGAUACCCUGGUAGUCCACGCCGUAAACGAUGUCGACUAGCCGUUGGGAUCCUUGAGAUCUUAGUGGCGCAGCUAACGCGAUAAGUCGACCGCCUGGGGAGUACGGCCGCAAGGUUAAAACUCAAAUGAAUUGACGG
rnacentral:rRNA from 1 species